CCUACGGGAGGCAGCAGUGGGGAAUUUUGGACAAUGGGCGCAAGCCUGAUCCAGCCAUGCCGCGUGUGGGAAGAAGGCCUUCGGGUUGUAAACCACUUUUGUCAGGGAAGAAACGGCUUUUUCUAAUACAGAGAGCUAAUGACGGUACCUGAAGAAUAAGCACCGGCUAACUACGUGCCAGCAGCCGCGGUAAUACGUAGGGUGCAAGCGUUAAUCGGAAUUACUGGGCGUAAAGCGUGCGCAGGCGGCUUUGCAAGACAGAUGUGAAAUCCCCGGGCUCAACCUGGGAACUGCAUUUGUGACUGCAUGGCUAGAGUACGGUAGAGGGGGAUGGAAUUCCGCGUGUAGCAGUGAAAUGCGUAGAUAUGCGGAGGAACACCGAUGGCGAAGGCAAUCCCCUGGACCUGUACUGACGCUCAUGCACGAAAGCGUGGGGAGCAAACAGGAUUAGAUACCCUGGUAGUCCACGCCCUAAACGAUGUCAACUGGUUGUUGGACGGCUUGCUGUUCAGUAACGAAGCUAACGCGUGAAGUUGACCGCCUGGGGAGUACGGCCGCAAGGUUGAAACUCGAAAGNGUAGUGCGNGAGAGAGCGACGACGACGACGACGGAGGAGGNG
rnacentral:rRNA from 1 species